rnacentral:rRNA from 1 species
AGCGAACGCUGGCGGCGUGCCUAACACAUGCAAGUCGAACGUGAAAGAGGGGCAACUCUCGAGUAAAGUGGCGUACGGGUGAGUGACGCGUAGGUAAUCUACCCCAAAAUCCGGAAUAACCUGCCGAAAGGCGGGCUAAUACUGGAUAGAGCGACGGAAUCCGUAAUUGGGUUUUUCGGAAAGGGAGCUCGCAAGAGCCUUCGUUUGGGUAUGAGCCUGCGUCUCAUUAGCUAGUUGGUGGGGGUAAUGGCCCACCAAGGCUUUGAUGGGUAGCUGGUCUGAGAGGAUGAUCAGCCACACUGGAACUGAAACACGGGUCCAGACUCCUACGGGAGGCAGCAGUGGGGAAUC